GACGAACGCUGGCGGCGUGCUUAACACAUGCAAGUCGAACGGAAAGGCCCUGCUUUUGUGGGGUGCUCGAGUGGCGAACGGGUGAGUAACACGUGAGUAACCUGCCCUUGACUUUGGGAUAACUUCAGGAAACUGGGGCUAAUACCGGAUAGGAGCUCCUGCUGCAUGGUGGGGGUUGGAAAGUUUCGGCGGUUGGGGAUGGACUCGCGGCUUAUCAGCUUGUUGGUGGGGUAGUGGCUUACCAAGGCUUUGACGGGUAGCCGGCCUGAGAGGGUGACCGGCCAAAUUGGGACUGAGAUACGGCCCAGACUCCUACGGGAGGCAGGAGUGGGGAAUAUUGCAAAAUGGGCGGAAGCCUGAUGCAGCAAAGCCGCGUGCGGGAUGACGGCCUUCGGGUUGUAAACCGCUUUCGCCUGUGACGAAGCGUGAGUGACGGUAAUGGGUAAAGAAGCACCGGCUAACUACGUG
rnacentral:rRNA from 1 species